AACCGUUGAUUGUUUUGGAUUUAAUCUGUGCCGUCGAUUUGUUUUUAGGUCAGAUGAUAACAUUUCACUUUUGUAUUCCUCGUUCAUUUGUUUCGAAGCGCAGCCGUGAGCCUCCGACCCUCACCAACGUCGUCCCUGUUUUGCUGCAGUUGGAUCUCUCUCAAGUUUUGCUGCAGGCAAAGCUGUGUGUGGAUGAAAACAUCCAUGUUAUUCCUACUGAAACAUGUGUGCCUCUUUGUAGCUUUGGUGUUUAAGGAGUUGCUGUCUUUGUUAUUUUAUCGGGUUGGAAAUUUUUGGCAAUCUUUGCUGUUAUUGAAAAUCAGAGUGCCUGCACUUGCCUAUAAACAUGGUUUAAUCUGCAGAGUUUCGGUGAAAGUUAUUUCACUGCUUGCCUAUUUUGAAGGAGGAAUUUACGUCAUCCCAUCCCAAAAGAAAUGAAGUUACCGAUUAUGUUGUCGUGAUGGGGGUCAUUUACAGUAUGGUCAAGCAAGACUAUAUGAUGCAGGAGAGGAUCGUCUCUGCUCUUAAUCUCAAAUCAUCUUCAGGAGAAUUAGAGAGCUACUGCCUGAUGUGGUCUUUGCGUCCGUUCAUAAAUAACGAAAUUAUGGAUUAUGCUUGGAAACUUAUUCCCUGAAUGUUGCGGGAAUCUGAAUGCCAAGGUUUGCUUACUGUCAGAUUGUCCAAAAGUCCAAAAGCCCAAAAUUAUUUUUGGGAUUCCCGAUUUGUCCCGAAAUCCCGAAACUAUUUCGGGAUUCCCGAAAAUUGGGAUUUCCGAAAAUUUGGUUUGGGAUCGGUAUUGAAAUUGGGAUUCCCGAAAAUUUCGGUAUGGGAAUCGGAACAAGGGUUUCGGUAUGGGAUCCCAUACCGAACCACCCCUAGUAGGAGAUAUAGAAAUGGGCAGACAAAAUGGACUAGUGGAAGAAUAAAAGAAAAAAAAAAGAGACUGACACGGGAGUGGAGGAGGAGAGUCCACGGGCAGAACAAAAGCAAAGUGAUAGGAGGACUGAAGAAAGGAAGAAGGGAAUAAAAGCAGAAGGGAAGACAGGCAACAGGGGGGUCUUGGAGCGGGAGAAAGGGGCUGCCCUUUGGGCAGCUCGCAGAGACGCAGGAACGAGAGAGCAGCAAGAAGCUGCGUGAAGAGAGAAGUCAGAAGGCAGCCUUGCUGCCAAGAAGAAUAAAAAAAAAGGAAAUAAAAAAAUAGCAACCAGGGGGAUUGGUGGAAGGCAGAGAGCUGCAUUUGGGCAGCGUGAGAAGGCGAGAGGAGAGAGGUCAGGCGGAAAUAAAAUAAGAAAAUAGGAAGGACAGGAGGACAGGCGCAAAAAAGGAAA